AUGACAUAUUGUCUGGAACACAGAAUGACAUCCGUUUGUAGGAAAACUUGGCACAACCAAUUCAGAUUUUCCCAUAAGAGCAAGCAGUUUGCUGAUCAUCACAUGUUUAAACGCCUCCAAAACCUACAUCUCCAAGAAAAAAAGGUGGCAUUCACCACAUUCUGGAGCCAUACCCACAUCCGAAACAACAUGCUCCAAAAUACUGUUUCAGCUUUCAACAGAGACACAGAGCCUCCAAUUACGCAGCUGCAAAAUUCAAGAGGACAUCCAAAAGACAGCAUUGACCCAACCCCCCUAUUAUCAGGACACAACUCCACCUUCCAGGACCUAGUUAGUCAACUCCAUGAUGGCGCUGACGAUGUCGCCAUCCGCAGCCUUGAGUGCCUCCACAGCCCUGGAUCUCGACACGGAGGCCUGCAUCAUCACGAGCUCGACGUCCUUCUUGUCAACACCCGUCUCGUCGACCUCCUCGUCAUCUUGGAUUGCUGCCACAGACGGCUCACCCUUUGA
rnacentral:rRNA from 1 species